rnacentral:rRNA from 1 species
GACAGAGGAUGCAAGCGUUAUCCGGAAUGAUUGGGCGUAAAGCGUCUGUAGGUGGCUUCUUAAGUCCGCUGUCAAAUCCCAGGGCUUAACCCUGGCCAGGCGGUGGAGACUACUAAGCUUGAGUACGGUAGGGGCAGAGGGAAUUUCCGGUGGAGCGGUGAAAUGCGCAGAUAUCAGGAGGAACACCGGUGGCGAAGGCGGAUCUCUGGGCCAUUACUGACGCUGAGGAGCGAAAGCGUGGGGAGCGAACAGG